CUGGGCUUUCUCCUCCAUCACUUCCUUCUGUUGGGUAACGUGUAGUGAGGCAGGGAGGCGUGAGGAGCCGGGCUCUUCACUCCUUCGCGCCGCUCUGAGGACAUGGAGGAGCGGACACUGAGGAGGGCAGACACCGAGGGACAGCGGCUCUACAGCGGCCAGGACGGGGACGUUACCUGCAGCACGAACACAACUCCAACUGACGGGAUAACAUGGUGACUGCUGCUAAACUUUUACUCUCAUCUUCAGCUCCUGUCGCGGAUGGCUGCUUUAACUUUUCACUGAUUGGCGUUUUGGUCAUGUGGAUGUUAUCGUAGUUAGUUGUGCUUUCUUUUCUUCACUGUGGGUCCAGAGGAGCUCUGCCUCAGGCGUAAAUCUGGCGCACUGUCCCGCAUAGAUCGCCUCUUUAAUAUUUCAGAGCAGUCAGUGGAGGUUAACAUAGGGCUGCUCAAUAAUGGCAUAAAUCGUAAUCACGAUUAUUUUGAUUUAUGUCUAGAUGACGGUUAUUAUACCUACCACUCUGUGCGUAAAUGUCAGCUCAUUAAAUUAACUCGUGAAGGGCAGACAUGAACACAUUUAUAUUUUGUUCCAGGUAAGACUCUUACAAACCUAGAGUAGUUUCCAUAUGGCUAAGAUUGGAAUCCAUUGGCUGCCUUUCUGUCAUCUUCUGCAGCUCUCUUGCUUUUUAAAUCAACCAUAGUACACUCUGUGGCUUUCUCUGCUCCUCACUCAAAUUAAAGAGAGAGCUGUCAGUGGAAGGAGGAACCGCACAGAGACGGCAUGCUCCACAGUGACAGUAGAAACUCCUUUAUGUUGUUUUCAUGAUUGUGGGAAGCUAAAUCAUCAUUGAAUUUGACUCUUGAUUAGUCGUCCAGCACUAGGUUAACAUGGGGGCAAAGCAGAGCAGCCCUACCGCUAACCCAGCUGCUAACGGACGGACCAGAGCCUACUCCGGCUCGGACUUGCCCUCCAGCACAGCCAGCAGUAACGGCAGUAACGUUAGCAGGACUACCGCUGGGGGGAUGAGGUACCAUGCUACCUCUGGGGCCAGCACCAGCCAGCACCUUGGAGCCAGAGCCAGGUCUGUUGGAGGCUCAGGAGGCUCUGGGACCAGACCUCAGUCAGGGAUUAAUAUCCCAAACAGCAGUGGAGCCUACAGCUCUCCGGAGUCUGGAGGCAGCAGUCCGGAAGAGGGAGAGGACAGAGAACACCCAGGUGGAGGGAAUGAAGGUCCCCGGCUGAUGAUAGGAUCAUUACCAGCACAUCUUUCACCUCACCUGUUUGGAGGCUUCAAGUGCCCUGUCUGCUCCAAGUUCGUGUCCUCGGAUGAGAUGGAUCUGCACCUGGUGUUGUGUUUAACCAAGCCCAGAGUGACGUAUAAUGAGGACGUCCUGACGAAGGAUGCCGGAGAAUGUGCAAUCUGCCUGGAGGAUCUGGCACAGGGAGACACCAUCGCUCGCCUGCCUUGCCUCUGCAUCUAUCACAAAGGCUGCAUCGAUGAGUGGUUUGAAGUGAACAGAUCAUGUCCAGAGCAUCCAUCAGAUUAAAACUUUUUUGCACAGGCACCUUUCAAGACACUCAAGGUCACCUUACAAGAAAAGGUACUCUGGAGUGAGAGCGAUCUACAAUCCUCAGCGUGGAUCCAUGAGACUGCUGGACACUGUGAGCACUGUGAUCAGUUUAACCCAAUAAUGUAGAACCACAGUGUGCCAAAUCUCAUUAAGCAAUCUUCAGGGAAACAGACUCGUGUGUUUUUGUUUGAGUUGCACAUUCACGCUCACUCUGAGCCUGGACGGACUGAAUCUCCACGAGGCCACUGGACAGCAGAUAUCAGCUGAUUGUACACCGGGACACCGGAGGAGGUGUAGGUGGUCCUGGAGGGGUGGAGGGGGUGAUGUACAGGUGACCCCUUUCCCUCUGACUCUGCCCCGCCUCCUUCUUCAGCAUCAGUGUCUACCAGUGCCUUGUUGUCGUUGUUGUUUUGAUUACUGGGGGUUGUACCAUGAAGCGAGAUUAGACGGUAAUCCUGGUCAGUUCAGUGGUAAGAUUUCAGUGUCAUGAAGCUGGCUGUCUUUUAACUAGGCUAGAUUACCAAACGGACCCUGAACCCAUCGCCUUGUCAGUACCAGCUUAUAUCUAGAGUUCGCUGAAAUCUGCUGUUAAACAUUGUCAUUUUUAUUUAUAAGGGACUGUUCUCAGUGAGCAUUAUUCAGCUGAAGGAAUGAGUUCAUUAAAACGUCUGAAAUUAUAACACUGAGUUUGUAAUGUCCCAAAUCAAAGCCACAAAAUAACAUACUGGAUAAAUCACAUAACAGAGCCCACAUUGCUUUUACCAGGCUGCAUUCAUACUUUAACUCUCACCAGACCACCCUCACCAUAGAGGAGGAGGUCCAGCAUCUUAAUGGCUGUGUCCGAUGAGGUACGUGCAUGCAUCGGCCAUGUCAGAGCUGUGUCACAGGUUGAUUUUCAUUCAGCUGUGCAUUUUAACAAGUAACGGAUAUCAGCCUACCAGCAUGAGCACCUCAUCUGACACACUGAGGCUCGGCUAUUUUUACCACAAGCUUCUCCUGUCUCUUGGCCAUGAAAGAGAGUCAUGUUUACCGUGUUUUAGCAAAUACACGAUAACAGUGUUACUCUACCCUGCUCAACUAAAGAGUCAAAUUGUUGAAAAUGGCCUUUGCAAGAGCCACAAUCUAAAUGGUGAAAAGUGGCAAAAAUGGGUUAAAGUGGCAAUAAAAAUAUGUGAAAGGAGAAAAAAUGGUCAAAAAGUGGCAAAAAAAAUGGGUGAAACAGGGGCAAAAGUUACAGGUGCUCAAAAAGCAGAAAAAUGCAGCAAAAAGUGAGUUAAAGUGACUAAAAUUGGCAAAAAAGCUGGGCACAUGGGGGUAAAGUGGCACUUAAUGGCUGUAGGCAGCUAAAAUGGGCAAAAAGUGGUAAAAAAAAAAGGGGGAAAAUUGCAAGAGAAGCAGGAUAAAAGUGGCAAAAAUUGGCAAGACGU